AGCGAACGCUGGCGGCAGGCCUAACACAUGCAAGUCGAGCGCCCAGCAAUGGGAGCGGCAGACGGGUGAGUAACGCGUGGGGAUCUGCCCAAUGGUACGGAAUAACCCAGGGAAACUUGGAUUAAUACCGUAUGUGCCCUUCGGGGGAAAGAUUUAUCGCCAUUGGAUGAACCCGCGUCGGAUUAGCUAGUUGGUGUGGUAAAGGCGCACCAAGGCGACGAUCCGUAGCUGGUCUGAGAGGAUGAUCAGCCACACUGGGACUGAGACACGGCCCAGACUCCUACAGGAGGCAGCAGUGGGGAAUAUUGGACAAUGGGCGCAAGCCUGAUCCAGCCAUGCCGCGUGUGUGAUGAAGGCCUUAGGGUUGUAAAGCACUUUCGCCGGUGAAGAUAAUGACGGUAACCGGAGAAGAAGCCCCGGCUAACUUCGUGCCAGCAGCCGCAGUAACAC
rnacentral:rRNA from 1 species